UUAAGAAAGGAUCAAAGAACGUUGAAACUGAAAAAGGGUAUGCAUUCACGUGAAGUUUGAAACAACUGCCUCUCGAUCGUCGCCGAGGGAGAGAGUUCCCUGUUCUGAUGAUUUGAUCCGUGGACCCAAAAAUGGCAUCACUGGCCACCCAUUUUUCAGCCUCUCUUCUCCUCCUCCCGGUGGGGUUGCGCCGCCUCCUCUACUCCUACUCCCUCUACCUCAAGAGCCCUUCCCUCUUCCACUCCAAGCUUUACUACUUCUCCCAACCCAGAUACACCAAUCUUGACCUCUAUACUCUCCUUCUCUCCCUCCCCAUUGCUACCUUCUCUCUCCUCUUCCUCUUCCUCACCCUCUCUCCUUCCCUUUCCUUCCCCUCCUACAGAUUCUCCUUCCUCUUCCAAUCCCAGACAAUUUUCCUCUUCUGGGUUUUGAUUCUCCUCUUCUUAGCCCGCGAGAGUGUCGACUCAUUUUUCAUUCCCGAGAGUUUCGUCUUCCUUCUCGCGGGAAUCACCUUCUUCGCUGAGUACUCCGCAACUGGCUAUGGUUUUGAGGGAAUCGCAGCGGUUUGUUACGGUCUGUUGGGGAAUUUGACACUUGUGUGUUGUGGGAGUUGCUUGAUUUUGGCGAUCAGGCCGACUGCGUUCUUUGCCGAGUUUGGGUUGUGUUUCGGGCUGCUUUUCAAAGGUACUUGGCUGAUACAGUCCGGUUUGUGCCUAUACACCGAUGUGUUCGCUCUCAAAGGGUGUCAAAAGGUAGUGGUCUCACCACCACUGCCGGGGAGUGGAGGAGCUAUGGAUGUAAAUUGUGGACUUGACGAUGACCGGACGAGGGGCGUGGCGUUGAUGAAUUUACUCUUCGUCGGGCAUGCAAUUGGGGUCUUGAUUGUGAGUUUUGUGACGUUUGGGAUGCUUGCAAUCAAUAGAAAUUCAAGGUGUGGGGAGGCUAGUGGGCCGUUGCUUGCGCAGCUUGAAACAGAGAGUGCAUUGACGAUGCGCGCUCAUCCUGAGUUUGAACUGGAAUGAAGCGUUCAUAUGGAGCAAACGAAUUGAUGAAGGUUGCCUUUCCAAUUUUCUGAGGAUCCUCUUAUUGCCGGUUCAACAAUCUCUACAGCAUCAGAACAGUAAUCCUUCACCAUCUGUAUUGUAUUUGGAGAGAGCCCAUGAGAUUGCAUGACUCCUUGGGACAGUGGUGGGGUUGAUAUUGACAAGUAGAUGUCUUGUGCACUGGAAACUGAACACUGUUAAAGACACAUGACAAUCAUCAGAAAUAGUUAUGUUAUUUUUCAAAUAUAUUUUUUAAUAGAUUGCUUGUGUUUAACCACACACUUGAUUCUUUUGUAGCGGCUACAUCAAGUUGAAAUUGGACAUCGCAUUACAUGGUUUGACCAAGUCUAUAACAGAUCCGACUCAGACAAAUGGUAAGCUUGCCUGUACUUACCUGAAUGUGGUAUUCCACAGAGCCAAACUCAUAUAAGUGAUGAUCAAUCUCCACGGGCUUUUCACUGCUGUAACGAAAGGAGGAACAUGGUUAGCAUUUUAUUUUAUUUUUGGGUUAAGAGCUCAUGCGAUGCACUGACCAUAUAUGGUUUGGCAGGGAGCAGCUGCUAAGAAAACAGCAAAUAUCCAAAACAGUCUCUCUUCUUUCUACUUUCAAGGCUUUGGAUUCGUUUUAGUUGUCUUGUUUCGAUUAAGUAAUGAUUUAUAGUUUUUGUUAAUUUCUCAGUUUCUAAUUCCAAUCCCAUUGUAUGAGCAGUUUUCUAUUUGGCUCAUAUGCAUAAUGCAUUAGAUGAUAGUUUCAGGUAUAUAUCUAGAGUUAGGGGGAGUCUCUGGUUCUUAAUUUUGAUUAGGAGCAUACGUUUCUUCAGUCUAGGUCCGUGUUUCAUAUAUUGGCUCUGUUUGUACUUAAUUUUGUGUUUUUCGUCUCUGAUGUUAUAUAUAUUCCACCAUGUGUUUAUUGAAGCCAAAAGGCUGAAAGGGAUAUUUUAUCCAACAAUAAGAAAAGCUCUCUCUUAUGGUCAACUGAGCCUGACCCUAAAACCAUUCAAAGGUUGUGUCUACAUGUUUUUGUGCUUACUAAUUUAAAGGACCAGGGAUGGUGUGAGAAGUGAACUUCUUACCUCACUAGGUGGAAAAUGUUGUCAUAGACUAUAAUGGGUGAACUAUUGAGUUAUUGUCCAACUAAUCCAUCAUUGCAGUACAAGUAAUUGAUCAUCUACCUAGACAGGACCUAUUAUUUCCGCCAAAAGUUGGUAAGUUACUGUCAUCUGAUGAGGAAAGCUAUCUUUUAUUCCCCUAACAAUGUCUGCAACUUCUUGUGCCUCCUUUUUUAAUCUGUCUUGAGUAACAUUUAUUUUAUGGUAAUUAAGUGAAAUUUUGUUGAGGACUGUUACAGGUACGUCAGCACAAGUUGCUAUUUAGUAUGCUAUUCUUUCUGUCAAGAAAAUGAGUUAGAAACCACAUAGAACAACCCUAAUCGUUGGCGAGUCUAUACUACACUAGACAGCAACAAUCUCCCUUUAGUUUUUUUAGUGAUUAUACUGUCAAGAAUAGUGUCAGGUGAGUUUUGUUUUAUGGAAGCUACUUGUGGGAUUUUGAUGUAGUUGAACUUGAGACUUCUAAGGGCAAGUUAUGUUAGAUGAACUGUGUACAAAAAAAUGUUUUCCUGUUAGGAUUGCUGUGUAUUUAUACACGAAAUCUCUAACCAUGAUAGGGUAUAUAAUGUCAGUCACAAGUUUUCCAUGUGUAGCUUAACAUUAUCAUCCAUCUAUAUCUGCCAUUGACAAUUAAAAAUGCUCACAAGUAUGGCCACCAAAAGUUGGCUCUUAGAGCCACUUAGGGGUCAAUAUUUAUUUGUUAAAGCAUACUUUCAAUAGAUUAACAGUGCUUACCGGUAUAAUUUGAGCAGGAUUUGCUUGAGAGCCGGCGAAGACUUGUCCCAACGUGCAGCCAUCGCCGGGAAACGCUGAAACUCAGCUCUCUCAAAAAAUUUCCCAGCUCCCAAACAGCAGGCACUCAUUAGUGUUGGAAAGAAAGCUUUGAAGCAACUACAUUCUCUCUCUUUAUUUGAAGA